AUGUAGCGUUUUGCUUGAAGUUGUUCACUGAUACUGGCUAAUUCAUAUGGAUAGAUUGGCAUUACUCGUUUAGUGUUAUGAUUUAUGUUAUGACACGUGUGUUUAGAGUUUUACGCUAUGUUCUUCAUUGUUUUAAAUUUGUGUUCUUCCGUCUUCAAAUUCUCAUGAUGGAAUUGUUCCUCUUCAUGCCUGUUGUGAAUUUAUAUCAAGCUUAUUUACAUAGCUACUAGUUGAGGUUUAACAGCUUUGCCACGUGAGAUAAUUCAUGAGUUCCUUCUUAUGUCUCUUUAGAUCUAUAAAUGUCAUUGCAGAGUAUCUGUUGCUUCUUAUUAUGAUGAAUAGAAGAGAGAUGGGGUUCGGCUGUUGAUAAUAUAUUUGGUUCUAUUUUGCAUUAGUCUCUCUUAAUCUGCU
rnacentral:misc_RNA from 1 species